rnacentral:tRNA from 1 species
GGGGCUGUAGCUCAGCUGGGAGAGUACCUGCUUUGCAAGCAGGGGGUCAGCGGUUCGAUCCCGCUCAGCUCCACCA